GACGAACCGAGCGAACGUUAUUCGGAAUCACUGGGCUUAAAGGGCGCGUAGGCGGGCGAUCAAGUCAGGGGUGAAAGCCCCCAGCUCAACUGGGGAAGUGCCUCUGAUACUGGUCAUCUCGAGGGAGGUAGGGGCGUGCGGAACUUCCGGUGGAGCGGUGAAAUGCGUAGAGAUCGGGAGGAACACCCGUGGCGAAGGCGGCCAGCUGGGCCGACCCUGACGCUGAGGCGCGAAGGCGUGGGGAGCGAACGGG
rnacentral:rRNA from 1 species